rnacentral:rRNA from 1 species
UGCCUACGGGACGCAGCAGUGGGGAAUAUUGCACAAUGGGGGGAACCCUGAUGCAGCGACGCCGCGUGAGUGAAGAAGUAUUUCGGUACGUAAAGCUCUAUCAGCAGGGAAGAAAAAAGGACGGUACCUGAGUAAGAAGCCCCGGCUAACUACGUGCCAGCAGCCGCGGUAAUACGUAGGGGGCAAGCGUUAUCCGGAAUUACUGGGUGUAAAGGGAGCGUAGACGGCAGUGCAAGUCUGGAGUGAAAGGCGGGGGCUCAACCCCCGGACUGCUCUGGAAACUGUACGGCUGGAGGGCAGGAGAG